rnacentral:rRNA from 1 species
GACAGAGGGGGCAAGCGUUGCUCGGAAUUACUGGGCGUAAAGGGCGCGUAGGCGGGAUGGCAAGUCGGUCGUGAAAUCCCUCGGCUCAACUGAGGAUCGUCGAUCGAUACUGCCGUUCUUGAGGAUUGCAGAGGAGACUGGAAUUCCCGGUGUAGCGGUGAAAUGUGUAGAGAUCGGGAGGAACACCGGUGGCGAAGGCGGGUCUCUGGGCAAUUCCUGACGCUGAGGCGCGAAAGCGUGGGGAGCAAGCAGG